UCCGGGAGAGGGAAACGGCUCCUUGAACCAGGGAGCUUGGUCAACGUCCCAGGGCCCAGAACUGAGUCCUCAGUGCCUCCUGUCACGGAGGAAGGAUGGAGAAGCCCCUGGGAGCCUCGUUACUAAUUCUGGGACUCCAGCUGGGCUGGGCGAGUGGCCAGAUUACGGUGGAGCAGACUCCUCCGUCCCUCAGCAUCCAUGAGGGAGAGAACGGCACCUUGACUUGCAACUACACCGCGACUACGUCUAUCACCCUAUACUGGUACCGGCAGAUCCCUGGGAGAGGCCCUGACUUCCUGAUGUUAAUUUAUUCACAUGAGAAAGAAAAACCCAGUGGCAGAUUGACAGCCACACUGGAGAAAGUUCCCCAACGCAGCUUCCUGCACAUCCCCGCUGCCCAGCUCGGAGACUCAGCCACCUACCUCUGUGCCGUGGAGACACAGUGAUCCCCAGACACCUGCAGCCCGUGCGGAAACCCCGCCGGCAGCUGGGAAUCCUU